rnacentral:lncRNA from 1 species
AGACGGGGCCCCACUGUUUUUCAAUCAAUUCGAAAUGAUAGGGAUCAUGUGCCCCCUAGUGGAGGACCGGGUAUCUGUGCUGUCCCUAUGUACAAUCAUGAUGGGUGCUCCGAUGAGAUAUACAUGGGUGGUGCCAAGCGUAACAUUUGUGAACGGCUUGCAGAGCAUGGGGCCAGUAUUUCCAAAGGGGGCCUCGAUGCUGCCCUUGCUGUUGGCGCUUAUGAACAUAGUAUGGGUGUUUCUUGGGAAGAGGCUCGUGUUGUUGAACCUAUAUGGGAUAACUUUGGUGUUGCUGCCUUGGAGGCUGUCGGGAUUGUGAAGGGAC